rnacentral:rRNA from 1 species
AACACAUGCAAGUCGAGGGGAAACGACAUCGAAAGCUUGCUUUUGAUGGGCGUCGACCGGCGCACGGGUGAGUAACGCGUAUCCAACCUGCCCACCACUUGGGGAUAACCUUGCGAAAGUAAGACUAAUACCCAAUGAUAUCUCUAGAAGACAUCUGAAAGAGAUUAAAGAUUUAUCGGUGAUGGAUGGGGAUGCGUCUGAUUAGCUUGUUGGCGGGGUAACGGCCCACCAAGGCAACGAUCAGUAGGGGUUCUGAGAGGAAGGUCCCCCACAUUGGAACUGAGACACGGUCCAAACUCCUACGGGAGGCAGCAGUGAGGAAUAUUGGUCAAUGGACGAGAGUCUGAACCAGCCAAGUAGCGUGCAGGAUGACGGCCCUAUGGGUUGUAAACUGCUUUUAUAAGGGAAUAAAGUGAGUCUCGUGAGACUUUUUGCAUGUACCUUAUGAAUAAGGACCGGCUAAUUCCGUGCCAGCAGCCGCGGUAAUACGGAAGGUCCGGGCGUUAUCCGGAUUUAUUGGGUUUAAAGGGAGCGUAGGCCGGAGAUUAAGCGUGUUGUGAAAUGUAGACGCUCAACGUCUGCACUGCAGCGCGAACUGGUUUCCUUGAGUACGCACAAAGUGGGCGGAAUUCGUGGUGUAGCGGUGAAAUGCUUAGAUAU